UUCCUACGGGGGGCAGCAGUGGGGAAUAUUGGGCAAUGGGCGCAAGCCUGACCCAGCAACGCCGCGUGAAGGAAGAAGGCUUUCGGGUUGUAAACUUCUUUUCUCAGGGACGAAGCAAGUGACGGUACCUGAGGAAUAAGCCACGGCUAACUACGUGCCAGCAGCCGCGGUAAUACGUAGGGAGCGAGCGUUGUCUGGAUUUACUGGGUGUAAAGGGUGCGUAGGCGGGUAAGCAAGUCAGAAGUGAAAUCCAUGGGCUUAACCCAUGCACUGCUUUUGAAACUGUUUAUCUUGAGUGAAGUAGG
rnacentral:rRNA from 1 species